rnacentral:rRNA from 1 species
UACGUAGGGGGCAAGCGUUGUCCGGAAUCAUUGGGCGUAAAGAGCGUGUAGGCGGUUCAGUAAGUCUGCUGUGAAAGUCCAGGGCUCAACCCUGGGAUGCCGGUGGAUACUGCUGGGCUAGAGUACGGAAGAGGCGAGUGGAAUUCCCGGUGUAGCGGUGAAAUGCGCAGAUAUCGGGAGGAACACCUAUUGCGAAGGCAGCUUACUACGGAUUGAUUGACACUGAGGCACGAAAGCGUGGGGAUCAAACAGG